GAUGAACGCUGGCGGCGUGCUUAACACAUGCAAGUCGAACGGUAAGGCCCUUCGGGGUACACGAGUGGCGAACGGGUGAGUAACACGUGGGUGAUCUGCCCUGCACUUCGGGAUAAGCCUGGGAAACUGGGUCUAAUACCGGAUAGGACUCCGGACUGCAUGGUCUGGGGUGGAAAGCUUUUGCGGUGUGGGAUGGGCCCGCGGCCUAUCAGCUUGUUGGUGGGGUGAUGGCCUACCAAGGCGACGACGGGUAGCCGGCCUGAGAGGGUGACCGGGCACACUGGGACUGAGAUACGGACCAGACUCCUACGGGAGGCAGCAGUGGGGAAUAUUGCACAAUGGGCGCAAGCCUGAUGCAGCGACGCCGCGUGAGGGAUGACGGCCUUCGGGCUGUAAACCUCUUUCAGCAUCGACGAAGCGAAAGUGACGGUAGGUGCAGAAGAAGGACCGGCCAACUACGUGCCAGCAGCCGCGGUAA
rnacentral:rRNA from 1 species